rnacentral:rRNA from 1 species
AAUAUUGCGCAAUGGACGGAAGUCUGACGCAGCGACGACGCGUGAGCGAUGAAGGUCUUCGGAUCGUAAAGCUCUGUCCUUGGGGAAGAAGGGCUUCGGCCUUGAUGGUAACCAAGCAGAAAGCCCCUGCUCACUACGUGCAAGCAGCCGCGGUAAUACGUAGGGGGCGAGCGUUAUCCUGCAUUAUUGGGCGUAAAGGGUGCGUAGGCGGCCUUUUAAGUCAGAUGUGAAAGGCUACGGCUUAACCGUAGUUAGCAUUUGAAACUAAAAGGCUUGAGUGCAGGAGAGGGGAGUGGAAUUCCUAGUGUAGCGGUGAAGUGCGUAGAUAUUAGGAGGAACACCAGUGGCGAAGGCGACUCUCUGGACUGCAACUGACGCUGAGGCACGAAAGCGUGGGGAGCGAACA